GGGUGCAUGGUCUAAGUGGUAUGAUUUUCGCUUAGCAUUCGGUCAUGGCUGCUGGUUGAUAAACAGCGGUCGUGGAAUCUUGUGAAAGGUCCCCGGUUCAAUCCCGGGUGUAUCCA